rnacentral:lncRNA from 1 species
GAAAGGCAGGGCUGAGGCGCUCUCCCAGCCCGCGGUCUGCAAGCCUGGGCUCAGCUGAAAACUGCUUUGCCCUGGCCCAGCUGGGGCACAAGAGGACCCAAAGGCUCCAGUAACCCUGGUGGGGCCCCCUGGGCAGCAGACAUGGCAUUAACGUGUCCUGCUCGCUGGUCACCCCGGAGGGGAGAGAGGGUUUCACCAGAGGUGCCAGGCUGGUGCCUAAUCCCACUUAAUCCCCCUCCUGGCUCUUCCUGCGUCUCUGGCGGGAGUGCCUGAAGCAGGUCCCAGCGYCCUGGCUUGCACAUGGGGCCGGUGCAGAGGUCGGGUGAGUGGCAGAGCCACCCCGUGGUACCCACACUGCUGUGCCCACGCGCACCCUGCUCCCGGCUGCAUCCCCCCAGCCUGGCCUUCCUUGCCCCCAGCCCCGGGCCACCAGUCAUGGCCUGGCCGAGGCUCACGGGGGCUGCGGUGGCAGGYGAUGCCAAGGGCCCUGAUCCCCCCUCACCAACGUUAAGGCACAGCCCAGCCGGCCACGGGGUGCAGCCGAGCCGAAGCGGCGCCAUGGGGAGGAAAGCGGAGAAGGGAGAGAGGAGCCGAGUGAGGCAUGGAGAAACCUUGCCACGCGGAGGGUUAAAAAGCUGCUACCACAGGAACAAAGCUCAAAAUGCUCCACCAACUCAGUUUAUUGAAGAGUGACUCGAUCAUGGUUCCCUGUACCAGGGUCAAAGCUUGGGGCUGAGUCUCCCUUGGAUCUAGAGAGCAAAGCAGAGCAAAAGGGCAAGGCUGGAAGCUGGGCUUGAGCAAUUCAGGCCUAAAAGCAGGGGAUACAAUCAAAGCCUGAGGCUACUGAAUGGCCAUCUGCCUCUGGAUUUUAAAUCAGGAUUURUUGUGUUUCCUAAAAGUGCUGUCUAACUUCUUCAUGAACAACCCGUGAACGACCUGCGAGCGAGGGGCGGUGAAGARAGAAGUGCUCUUUCUCUGCUGUUACCAAGCUCUUCAGGGUGAGCAGACCUSUGAAGGGACGGUGCCAAGUGACCCGGUGAAGCAGGGGAUGAGGCAGUGCCAGCAAAUGCAAAGGGAGGCAGAUCUGGGAAAGGCGGCCCUGCCUCGGCAGCCUGCUGUGG